rnacentral:rRNA from 1 species
AAACAUCGCCUCUUGCAAACUUAAUAAAUAAGAGGUCCCGCCUGCCCUGUGACUAUUAGUUUAACGGCCGCGGUAUUUUGACCGUGCGAAGGUAGCGCAAUCACUUGUCUUUUAAAUGAAGACCUGUAUGAAUGGCAUAACGAGGGCUUAACUGUCUCCUCUCUCCAGUCAAUGAAAUUGAUCUUCCCGUGCAGAAGCGGGAAUAUAAACAUAAGACGAGAAGACCCUAUGGAGCUUUAGACACCAAGGCAGAUCAUGUUAAUAAUCCUUAAUAACGGAGUAAACCAAAUGGAACCUGCCCUAAUGUCUUUGGUUGGGGCGACCGCGGGGAAUUAAAAAACCCCCACGUGGAAUGGGAGCACCCCCCUACAACUAAGAGCUACAGCUCUAGUAAACAGAAAUUCUGACCAGCAAGAUCCGGCAAUGCCGAUCAACGGACCGAGUUACCCUAGGGAUAACAGCGCAAUCCUCUUUUAGAGCCCAUAUCGACAAGAGGGUUUACGACCUCGAUGUUGGAUCAGGACAUCCUAAUGGUGCAGCCGCUAUUAAGGGUUCGUUUGUUCAACGAUUAAAGUCCUACGUGAUCUG